rnacentral:rRNA from 1 species
UACAGAGACUGCAAGCGUUAAUCGGAAUUACUGGGCGUAAAGCGUGCGCAGGCGGCGCGUUAAGACAGGUGUGAAAGCCCCGAGCUUAACUUGGGAAUUGCGCUUGUGACUGUCGUGCUGGAGUGUGGCAGAGGGAGGUGGAAUUCCACGUGUAGCAGUGAAAUGCGUAGAGAUGUGGAGGAACACCGAUGGCGAAGGCAGCCUCCUGGGCCAGCACUGACGCUCAUGCACGAAAGCGUGGGGAGCAAACAGG